rnacentral:rRNA from 1 species
UGAGGAAUAUUGGUCAAUGGGCGAAAGCCUGAACCAGCCAAGCCGCGUGAGGGAAGACGGUCCUAUGGAUUGUAAACCUCUUUUGUCGGGGAGCAAGGAUCCGCACGAGUGCGGAGGCGAGAGUACCCGAAGAAAAAGCAUCGGCUAACUCCGUGCCAGCAGCCGCGGUAAUACGGAGGAUGCGAGCGUUAUCCGGAUUUAUUGGGUUUAAAGGGUGCGCAGGCGGAGGAUCAAGUCAGCGGUAAAAUAGCGGGGCUCAACCCCGUCGAGCCGUUGAAACUGGUUUUCCUAGAGUGAGCGAGAAGUAUGCGGAAUGCGUGGUGUAGCGGUGAAAUGCAUAGAUAUCACGCAGAACUCCGAUUGCGAAGGCAGCAUACCGGCGCUCAACUGACGCUCAGGCACGAAAGCGUGGGUAUCGAACAGGAUUAGAUACC